GAACUUGGUGUUGCUGUAGUUCAUGCUAAAAACAAAUAUUUAUUUUAAAUAUAUUGUCCUUUCUUGGUUAAGUGCUUACUCUUUUUACAAGGAAAAGGCAAUGCUGAUCUUAAACAUAAGAUUGAAAAAAACAGUACACGAUAGGCUACUGUGAUUGCUUGGCUCAUUUAAUAAUUUUUAUUCUUAAUAUUUAGUAAGAAGGCAAAGUUGAAAUUCUUGAACUAUUCAUUUUUUUUUUUUUAAUAAUGGCCUACUACAGAGUUACUACUUUUCCUCACUUCCAUUUGUUUUUGUGAUAAAUUCAAUUCUAAGUUAAUAAUAUUGAAAUAAAGGUCAGGUUUUAAUACAGUAAGAGAUGAUAUUAGAAAAAACUAAAAACCUCACUAUAUAAUAAUUUUUUUCUUAUCUUUUGAUGCAAAAAAAUACCAAUAGUCUAUAUUAAUAUUCAAGACACUUAUUUCUUAUAUUUAACUGGUUUAAAUAUAUUUUUGACUGAAUUGUAACUAAGUUACAUGUGAAGACAAUUUUCAAGCAGAUGAACAUAGUAUAGCGUUCUGUAUCUUUUAGACAUCCUCUAAAUAAACUAUGGCAAAGUAAACACUACUAUUUUGCAGAUUUAAAAAAAAUUACAUUGAUGUCUUUGGAACAGCUUUCUAUUUUGUGCCUUCUUAUUAACCAGUUUCAGCUUCCUAAACUGUAUAUUCUGAAGAAGUUUGAAAAUGGGAUUGAUCUUGUCAUUUUUGCUCUUUCAUUAUUAAUUUAUAUACUUUGAGAUCUUUGAGAAAAAAUUAUUUUGGACAGAAUUUCUCUUUAGUAAGCAGGAACAUAAAAAUAGUGAUAUCUCAUUGCAUAACAAUGCCUGUGGAAUCCAUGUUGUGGAACUAACUGUUGAGGUGUUUCUAAAGAAAAUGUCCAAUAAUAUACCAGCCCCCUUUUGCAUAACCCAAAGUAGAUAAAUCUCAUUUUAAAUUUUAUAACAUGUUACAGUUUUAUCUAAAAUAUAGAGAGCCAAAUAAGAGAUUUCUCAUAUAUACUUUUCCCAAAUGAAAAGAUUCAUUUUCUCUUUAAAAUUUAGACUCAAAGAUAAAUAUUUUCUUCUUUUAUAUUUUAAAGUUUUGAUAAUAAUUAAAGUCACUGUUAGCUAACAGUCUAUCAAUAUGUCUAAUUUUAAAAAUUACUUAGCAAUGAUUUUCUUUUAAAGGCAAUUAAAAAUGGUGGUAUUUAUCAUAAUAAUGCUGAAAUUGAACAUUAAUAUUUUAGUUACAUUGUCUCCUGAGCUUUAUUGCUGUAUCAUUCAGGGUCUAAAAAAGUUCAUAUUUAAUGGUUCAUUUCUUAGAUAUUUUGUAUACUCUUUUUUUCCUUAGAUUCAUACAGGGGCCCAGAGUACCAUGAGAGAUUUUACAUCUUGGCAGAUAUAUCCAGUUAUUAUAACCUCACAUUGUGGGAGUUCAAUAACUUUCCAAUGUUAACUGUUCUAACAUUGCUAUUUUAAUUAUCCUUAGAAAUAUAAUUAAGACCUUGUUGAAAGACACAUUUUAAAAUGAAUUCCUGAGCCCAGGAUUGUUUGGAAUUCUUAAAGAGUUUCAUGAAUAUUCAAGUACAAAAGAUUUAAUAAUAGCCAGAGAUCUAGAAACUGUUAAUUGGCCAACCUGUUAACACAUAUGUGGCAUUGUCUAAACUAUUACCCAAAUAAAACAGACAUAGAGGGGCUACCUCCACUCCAUGACAACAUACUUCAGCAUGUAAUAAUGUUACUGAUUUCCCUUCAUUACAUUAGGCACUAUUAUAAAAACAAGGUAGUAUUCAUUAAGUUGUGAUCCAAAAUUGCUAAGUUUAGUAAUGAAACCUUUUCAAUUAUCAAUUCUUUGUGCCCAUGUGAUUAUGGUUUUCAUCAAUUUUACCACAAAGUCCCUAAAAAUCAGCUUUGAUAUGAGUUGGUGUUAUAUUUAAAGAAUGAUACUGUGGAGAAAAUUCUGGGAUUAGAAAGCAGAAAUAUGAAUUGCAGUUGUGAUUUUGCCACUACCUGGUUGUGUGACCUCAGGAAGAAUACUUUAUCUUCAUAGGCUUUGGUUCCUCAUCUGCUAAAUGAGAGCCUUUCCAGAUUUAACUUGGAGUGGUAUUUUAUAGUUACAGGCAGUUCAGGAAAAACAUUCAGUUUAUUAGCUACAACUGGUUAAUAAUAAGCAAUAUUCCCUUUUCCUCAUUCUUACAUGACACAGAGUUCCUUAACCUGGAUCCUGAGAAUAUGUGAAGCAAUAUGUUAAUUUGGUUUAAAAAAAAACAAAACCUUCCUUUAAAAAAGUUCAUUCAGUAGAGUAAUAUAAAAGGAAAUAAUUUUGAAAGUGAGAGGCUUAAUUUCAUGUCUUAACUCAAAAUCAAUGUAAUGAAUAAACUCUGGAUCUUUCUUGUAUUAAAAAUUAAGGUCAGACGUGCUGCUUCUGAUUUGCUGUUUUUCCUGUAAAUAGUUGAAAUAAAAUGGCAGUCUCUGUUCAGGUCUUCACCAUGCACUCCUCUCACUUCCUAAUUGUUGAUUUGGUUUAAUUAUUUUCAAAGGUCAAUAUCAUGAAGUGAGAGCUGGAAAGUUAAAACCCCAGAUACUUGUUGUGGAAUGUUUGCGUAGCUGUAGUUAGCCAUUGUUUGAUGUGUACCUCUUCUUCAUUGGCAUGCUGCUUUCAAGUAUAGCAGAGGACAUUUUGUUCUAUUAUAAAUUCCAGAAUAAGAUAUUUCUAAAUUUACUUCCCUACCUAGACCAUCAAUCUAAUGCUUUAAAACAAAACAAAACAACAAUCAGAAAACACUUCAGUAAUGUGCCCUUUUAACAGUUAACUGAAUUCAUAUGAGUUAGAUUUCUUUAGUUUUGGAUAGCAUGCAUUCUGCAGCUCUCAUUGCGCUGGUGAUCUGUCUCUGUGCAAGUUUGGACCAUUCCGUUUUGUUUGCUUGUUUUUAAGUAAACUUGCCAUCACAGUGUGAGAAUGAUAUGGACAAGACUAAUGCACUGUGCUUCUCCCUCUCCCCCAAUAACUUAAAAGUAAGUGAAAUCUCAGCAUCUAGAAACUGGAAGAAUAGGUAUUUCAUUUGCAUGGUGGUUUCAUUUUAUUCAACUUCUCAUAGCAAAGGGACAAAAUCAAAGUCUGCUUACUGAAGUAUUAUAGGACAUUCAUAUAACUGUAUAUGAUUGUUAAAGGUAUUUUAACAGUCUUUGGGUCAGUGGGAGAAGCAUGCAGUGGCUUUAUGCAGUAAUGCAUACCCACUGUUGUAUGGUCUGCCACACUUUACUAAGCCCCAGAUAUAGAUAUAUUUUUUUUCUCUGAAAGGAUUAAAAUGUCUCCCUAAAUGAAAGCUAUUAAAAUGCGUUAUUCAGAUAUACCCAUUUAAAAAACAACCACCACCUUAUUUUCUCAGCAUAUCCUAAUCCUCAGUCUUUACAUGGCAUACAAAACUCAUUUUACCACUAUGUGCUUAUAUUUGAGGAGACUUACCUAGAUACACAAGUACCAGAGAAUACAGGAUGACUUGGUUACCAUGAGUCAUUAUCUCCCUAAGCAUAUAUAUAUCAGUUGACACAGCAGUAGGAAGCUAGCUUGGGAUUUUAAAGUUACUGUAGUAAUCUACAUAUAGAUAAUGGAUAAUUUAAGAUUGAUAUUUCAACUUCUUAUUUUGAAUUGAACAAUUUAAGACAUUGCUUCAGACUGCAAUCUUGAACUGGACAAAUUGAGGAGCCUUAGACUUUUCCUCUUGUUUGUAUCAUAUAAAAAAGUUAAAGGAUUUAGUUUCAGAGCAUGUAGUUGGACUGUCAUGCUGUCCUUUCCCAUCUCUGUCAUUCCAAAGGUUUGAGUUGAAUCUUUUGAUUUCUUCUUAUGUGUUCUCUAAAGAUAAAAUGCAGCAAAGUUCUAUUUAAAUAGAACACCGUAAUUCUAGAUACAUAUGAUGUUAGAAUUGUUCUAAAGAAAAUAUUUGUAAAGUACUUUAUGUGGACAGAUGAAUAUUUUUAUACUGGGCUAUUCAUUUUAAUAUUUCUACAUCUUCAAGCAGUAUAAUAAUGUUAAUGAAGUUGGACUGCUAUGAGAGAAUGGUCUUUAUUCAAACAAGAGAAGUAUAAAACUGAUUGAUCCAAAGUAUAUGCUUAUACUGUACGCACUGAAAUCUAAUGUCUUCUUUUCUAAAG
ensembl:lncRNA